rnacentral:rRNA from 1 species
AGCUUGCUAGAACUUAGAGACAGGUGCUGCACGGCUGUCGUCAGCUCGUGUCGUGAGAUGUUGGGUUAAGUCCCGCAACGAGCGCAACCCACGUAUUUAGUUGCUAACGGUUCGGCCGAGCACUCUAAAUAGACUGCCUUCGUAAGGAGGAGGAAGGUGUGGACGACGUCAAGUCAUCAUGGCCCUUAUGCCCAGGGCGACACACGUGCUACAAUGGCAUAUACAAUGAGACGCAAUACCGCGAGGUGGAGCAAAUCUAUAAAAUAUGUCCCAGUUCGGAUUGUUCUCUGCAACUCGAGAGCAUGAAGCCGGAAUCGCUAGUAAUCGUAGAUCAGCCAUGCUACGGUGAAUACGUUCCCGGGUCUUGUACUCACCGCCCGUCACACCAUGGGAGUUGAUUUCACUCGAAGCCGGAAUACUAAACUAGUUACCGUCCACAGUGGAAUCAGCGACUGGGGUGAAGUCGUAACAAGGUAACCGUAGGAGAACCUGCGGUUGGAUCACCUCCUUUCUA